GAGUGAGGCUCGCAGCGAUAAAUAUUGCUAAUAUUUGUACCCCCGGUUGGACUCCCGGGCUCCCCCA
rnacentral:tRNA from 1 species